AGAUGAUGUGACUGUCCUAGGGCACAGAGUCUCUUGGGGGCCUGGACCUUAGGGAAGCUCUUCCAUUCCUAGACUCAGGAGAAAAUUUUGACCUUCCUAAUGCCUUUUCUGUUUGGGCAUUGGACUUCAUUCUUUCUCGCACCCCCGGCCAUGGGGAAGCCAUCUGUGUGAGAAGAAGGCUGUGGGCUCCCUGAAGCCCUCCCUCAAACCUCCAGCUAAGAAGCCCUACUCUCAGUCUCCAAUUCAGACUGCACACCUGGCCUGCCUCCCCUGAGCCGUG